GCUGGGUGUGGUGGCUCGCGCCUGUAAUCCCAGCACUUUGGGAGGCUGAGGCGGGGGGAUCACCUGAGGUCAGGAGUUCAAGACCAGCCUGACCAACAUGGUGAAACCCCAUCUCUA
rnacentral:SRP_RNA from 1 species